UCCCUGGUGGCUCAGAUGGUAAAGAAUCUGCCUGCAAAACAGGAGACCCAGGUUUGAUCCCUGGGUCGGGAA
rfam:Ovis aries breed Texel chromosome 15, whole genome shotgun sequence.